rnacentral:rRNA from 1 species
KGAAUUAAAUUUAAAAGGCUGCGGUAUUUUGACCGACAAAGGUAGCAUAAUCAUUAGUUUUUUAAUUGAAAACUUGUAUGAAUGGUUUAAUGAAAUAUUAGCUGUUUCAUUAAAAUAAAUAAAAAUUAAUUUUUUAGUAAAAAAGCUAAAAUAGAAUUAAAAGACGAGAAGACCCUAUAGAGUUUUAUAUAAAUAUAUUUAUAAAUUAAAAAGAAAAAUUUAAUUUUUAUUUAUUUUUAUAUUUUGUUGGGGUGACAAUAAAAUUUAAAAAUCUUUUAUUAUUUUUAAACAAUGAUUUUUGAAAAAUUGAUCCAUUAUUAAUGAUUAUAAGAUUAAAUUACCUUAGGGAUAACAGCGUAAUUUUUUUGUAGAGUUCUUAUCGAUAAAAAAUUUUGCGACCUCGAUGUUGGAUUAAGAUAAAUAUAAGGUGUAGAAG